rnacentral:rRNA from 1 species
CCUACGUGCGGCAGCAGUGGGGAAUAUUGGACAAUGGGCGAAAGCCUGAUCCAGCCAUGCCGCGUGUGUGAAGAAGGCCUUCGGGUUGUAAAGCACUUUCAGUGGGGAAGAAAGCCUUGGGGCUAAUACCCUCGAGGAAGGACAUCACCCACGGAAGAAGCACCGGCUAACUCCGUGCCAGCAGCCGCGGUAAUACGGAGGGUGCGAGCGUUAAUCGGAAUUACUGGGCGUAAAGCGCGCGUAGGCGGUCUGAUAAGCCGGUUGUGAAAGCCCCGGGCUCAACCUGGGAACGGCAUCCGGAACUGUCAGGCUAGAGUGCAGGAGAGGAAGGUAGAAUUCCCGGUGUAGCGGUGAAAUGCGUAGAGAUCGGGAGGAAUACCAGUGGCGAAGGCGGCCUUCUGGACUGACACUGACGCUGAGGUGCGAAAGCGUGGGUAGCAAACAGGAUUAGAUACCCUAGUAGUC